UACUGGGUAGAUUGAUGAUUUUUACAGC
rnacentral:piRNA from 1 species